rnacentral:rRNA from 1 species
UACGUAGGUGGCGAGCGUUGUCCGGAUUUAUUGGGCGUAAAGCGCGCGCAGGUGGUGCGGUAAGUCUGUCGUGAAAUCUCCCGGCUCAACUGGGAGGGUGCGGUGGAGACUGCCGGACUGGAGGCACUCAAAGGCCGGUGGAAUUCCCGGUGUAGUGGUGAAAUGCGUAGAGAUCGGGAGGAACACCAGUGGCGAAGGCGGCCGGCUGGGGGUGACCUGACGCUGAGGCGCGAAAGCGUGGGGAGCGAACCGG